rnacentral:rRNA from 1 species
GUGUCAGCAGCCGCGGUAAGACGAACCGUGCGAACGUUGUUCGGAAUCACUGGGCUUAAAGGGCGCGUAGGCGGCUGACCAAGUCUGGGGUGAAAUCCUGCAGCUUAACUGUAGAAGUGCCUGGGAUACUGGUCGGCUCGAGGGAGGUAGGGGUCUGUGGAACUGCUGGUGGAGCGGUGAAAUGCGUUGAUAUCAGCAGGAACGCCGGUGGCGAAAGCGACGGACUGGAUCUCUUCUGACGCUGAGGCGCGAAAGCUAGGGGAGCAAACGGGAUUAGAUACCCUAGUAGUCC